CCUACGGGAGGCAGCAGUGAGGAAUAUUGGACAAUGGGCGCAAGCCUGAUCCAGCCAUGCCGCGUGCAGGAAGAAUGCCCUAUGGGUUGUAAACUGCUUUUAUUUAGGAAGAAACCCCCCAACGUGUUGGGGGCUGACGGUACUAAACGAAUAAGGACCGGCUAACUCCGUGCCAGCAGCCGCGGUAAUACGGAGGGUCCAAGCGUUAUCCGGAAUCAUUGGGUUUAAAGGGUCCGCAGGCGGGCUUUUAAGUCAGUGGUGAAAUCUCUUGGCUUAACCAAGAAAUUGCCAUUGAAACUAUAAGUCUUGAAUUCGGUCGAAGUGGGCGGAAUGUGUCAUGUAGCGGUGAAAUGCAUAGAUAUGACACAGAACACCGAUAGCGAAGGCAGCUCACUAGGCCUGAAUUGACGCUCAGGGACGAAAGCGUGGAGAGCGAACAGGAUUAGAUACCCUGGUAGUCCACGCCGUAAACGAUCAUUACUCGAUAUCAGCGAUAUACAGUUGGUGUCUAAGCGAAAGUGAUAAGUAAUGCACCUGGGGAGUACGAUCGCAAGGUUGAAACUCGAAGGAAUUGACGG
rnacentral:rRNA from 1 species